rnacentral:lncRNA from 1 species
AGCGGCUUAGUCAGUAGCUCUUCAUUGCCGUCAAUUUUGGACACGCCGGCGACAACGAUUAGUCACCGUAUCGGAUAUCAAAAUUGACGGUGCGGCGAAACUUGCGUUAAUUUUCGUAAGAAUCAGUUAAUUGGUAUAGAAUUUUAAUUACAACAGUUUUAUUGUUGAUUUCAGCUUUCCAAAUUUCAGCUUCAAUACUUUCAUUUUGAAGCAGUGAUGAUUGAUUUAAUCUUUAAUUUCGGAUGUUUCUUCAUAACCGAAGAAAUGAAAAUGUAAUUUCCAGUGGAAUUUUUGUUUAGUUAAUGUUACCUCCUGGUUUAUAGCUUUGGAUAACCUUGUUUAUGGCUGAAACUUACAUACAUUUAAGGUUUCAUAUGAAAAUGGAGGCAGAAAAUUAAACAGGUGGUGGAAAUUGAUUUUAGGUUUCAUUGGAGCAGCUGGCAGACUCAGCUUACGAGCUUUUUCUCUCCUGCUGGUAAUUCAUACUUUCCUUAAAUAACUUUAUAGUCUCCCAUUGAUGCAUGCAUUUGAGCAUUUUAAUUUUUUUUCGAAUUAAUUAUUCUUGUGAGUGAAUAUUUCUUUGGUUUUUGAUUAUGAGGUUCAGAAAUCUAUAAUAUGUUGUUAUACAGAAUUGGAGUAAAUAAUUUAUUUACCAUGCUUAUUGCAUUUUGGUUUGGCAGUUCUUUGCUUCAUCGUGGUUGCUGUUAUUGUUACUUUUCUAUGAAAAUUACAUAAUUAGUAAAAUGAUCCUGUUAAUGGAAGGGCUUCUUGAAAAUCUUUGUUCUAGUGUUAACAAUAUUUACCAGCAGAAUGUCCUUGGGUGGGAACUCUUUUCUUUUCCAUUUUCUACUUUUGUUCAUUUUUGGAACCCAUUUUUACAAUGAACUUGGAUAAAAGUUGCAUUUAGAUAGAAAAGGAGUGCUGUUGUUUAUUAGUUUAUAUAUUUAUUUAGAUUUCUGCUGGUCUUAAUUCGAAAUUUUUGCUUUUGUUGUGCUUACAUGCUUCUGGUUGAAAUUUUGGGUCAUUAUUAAAUUGUAACUUGCUAAAUUUCAACUUUCGCUUUUCAGUGAAAAAUUAAGGAGACAUGGGUACUUCCUUGAUUGAUUUUCUCUACAGCUCUACUGAGAUCCUGUGAUUGGCUUCCUCAAGUGUAGGAUAAGUUAAUUGAAAGGUCGCUACGUUUUGUCAAUGUUGAAAGGUUACAAUAAUGCAAUGUUAGUGAGAUGUGCAAAACAAGUUACGCUUUGAAUGUGUCGAAAAUUUCAUUAUUAGUAUAUAUUGCUCCCUCUCUUUUGACCAAAUGAUGUUUUAUAUAAUACAGGUUUUAUUUUUGGAUGAAUGUGCAAAUUUCUAUGUUUUCCUCUUCAUUCAUAGUCAAGGUGGAAUUUUCAUAAUAGAGUUGCAUUUGCCAUUUUCACUUCUUUUUGUUGCUUUAGUUCUCUUCCAUUUGGGCUAGAAUUAUUGAAUUGAGUUUUCACUUUCGCAGGGUCUCUAUAGUAUUAACAUUAGUCAAAGGUUUCCUAAGGAUCUUGGAAAUUUGACAAACUUGGUGAGCUUGAAUCUAUACUUGAACAAUUUAAAUGGUCCAAUUCCACCGACGGUGGGCAAGCUAUCGAACUAUCUUUCCUAUAUGAGCACAAAUCUUUCACAUUACAUUCUUUUGCCUGUCUAUCUAACUUUUGUUACAAUUUUUAGGAUUUAAGUUUCCAUGGGGACUUUUGCCUGACUAUCUAAUUUUUAUAUAAUUCUGUAGCAAUAUGUUGCAUUAUGGAGCUUCUGGUUUGCACACUAUGUUAGGUUUCACUUGUUUGCUUUGGUAUAACUCUGCUUUUUCUUUGGGGUAAGGUCCGAUCAGCAUCCACUAAAAUGGCCACUAAAAUGGCUCCAAAAAAAAAAAGAAUUAUAAUUGGCCAUCUGAGCGAAAUCUGAUACUUGGUGUGUUUUAGCCGAACUGAGAUGUGCUUGAUUGAUACAGAGCACUCUAACUUUAGGAGCAGGCUGAGCCGCAGCAGGAGUGGGAUUUGCGGUUAAUUGCUUCUUGUUUGCUGGAAGUUUGUUGAAGAAACAUGAUGGUUUAUAUGCCAAUUUAGAACAUGAGAUGAAUCUCAUCCUGCAUUCAGUUGAUUAGAAUCUGUUGUGCUUACAAUUGCCUGCACUUUUGAAUGUGUCAUAUUUUGCAGAAUUUUUAGAGAGAGCAGGCUUUGGAUUCUAGAGAGGCAGAUUUCUUUCUCGAAUUGGAUUCCUUUUUAUCCAACAAUUUGUUUCUUCUUCAGAAUUGAGUUUUGUAUUGACUUGAAUAAAUUAUGGACGGAUUUCUUUUUCCCAAUUCUUUGUUCUUCCCACAAAUAUGAUUAGAUAUUGUCAGAAUUGAUUGCAUAUUUAUUUGUAUUACAGUUACAAGUCCCGGAAGAUGACGUUUGAGGAGACUGAAAUGGGCAUGGCAUAUCAAAUUGGACAUGUUGGGUAAACUGAUUUACUUGUUUGAUAUUAAUUUCAAUCCAUAUUCAGUCUUUUAAUGAACUGAAAGAAUAGUUAACUCAUGGCUUCAGAUCUUGUUGACAAUCUUGUUUCAAUUCCUUUGUUAGUUUCUGGCAAGCCGAAAAGAAAGACCGGGUCACUUUUCUUUUAGUUAUAUGCUUGCUUCUCUGCUGUUUUGAUUUUAAUAGGUACUUAUUUCUUUUGUGAAUUUGUAUCAAGUCGUAGUAAUGAUUUAAGACUCUUCAGCUUUGGAAUCUGAAUCAUAAUGGGGGAAAAAGAGGCAGUGAAAUUCAUGGAUUUGUGACGGCUUAAGGCC